GAUAAUAGCUACAACUUCCAUCCA
rnacentral:siRNA from 1 species